GAUUAAGUUAUUAAGGGCGCACGGUGGAUGCCUUGGCACUAGAAGCCGAUGAAGGACGUUACUAACGACGAUAUGCUUUGGGGAGCUGUAAGUAAGCUUUGAUCCAGAGAUUUCCGAAUGGGGAAACCCAGCAUGAGUUAUGUCAUGUUAUCGAUAUGUGAAUACAUAGCAUAUCAGAAGGCACACCCGGAGAACUGAAACAUCUUAGUACCCGGAGGAAGAGAAAGAAAAUUCGAUUCCCUUAGUAGCGGCGAGCGAAACGGGAAGAGCCCAAACCAACAAGCUUGCUUGUUGGGGUUGUAGGACACUCUAUACGGAGUUACAAAGGACGACAUUAGACGAAUCAUCUGGAAAGAUGAAUCAAAGAAGGUAAUAAUCCUGUAGUCGAAAAUGUUGUCUCUCUUGAGUGGAUCCUGAGUACGACGGAGCACGUGAAAUUCCGUCGGAAUCUGGGAGGACCAUCUCCUAAGGCUAAAUACUCUCUAGUGACCGAUAGUGAACCAGUACCGUGAGGGAAAGGUGAAAAGCACCCCGGAAGGGGAGUGAAAUAGAACCUGAAACCGUGUGCUUACAAGUAGUCAGAGCCCGUUAAUGGGUGAUGGCGUGCCUUUUGUAGAAUGAACCGGCGAGUUACGAUUUGAUGCAAGGUUAAGCAGUAAAUGUGGAGCCGUAGCGAAAGCGAGUCUGAAUAGGGCGUUUAGUAUUUGGUCGUAGACCCGAAACCAGGUGAUCUACCCUUGGUCAGGUUGAAGUUCAGGUAACACUGAAUGGAGGACCGAACCGACUUACGUUGAAAAGUGAGCGGAUGAACUGAGGGUAGCGGAGAAAUUCCAAUCGAACCUGGAGAUAGCUGGUUCUCUCCGAAAUAGCUUUAGGGCUAGCCUCAAGUGAUGAUUAUUGGAGGUAGAGCACUGUUUGGACGAGGGGCCCCUCUCGGGUUACCGAAUUCAGACAAACUCCGAAUGCCAAUUAAUUUAACUUGGGAGUCAGAACAUGGGUGAUAAGGUCCGUGUUCGAAAGGGAAACAGCCCAGACCACCAGCUAAGGUCCCAAAAUAUAUGUUAAGUGGAAAAGGAUGUGGCGUUGCCCAGACAACUAGGAUGUUGGCUUAGAAGCAGCCAUCAUUUAAAGAGUGCGUAAUAGCUCACUAGUCGAGUGACACUGCGCCGAAAAUGUACCGGGGCUAAACAUAUUACCGAAGCUGUGGAUUGUCCUUUGGACAAUGGUAGGAGAGCGUUCUAAGGGCGUUGAAGCAUGAUCGUAAGGACAUGUGGAGCGCUUAGAAGUGAGAAUGCCGGUGUGAGUAGCGAAAGACGGGUGAGAAUCCCGUCCACCGAUUGACUAAGGUUUCCAGAGGAAGGCUCGUCCGCUCUGGGUUAGUCGGGUCCUAAGCUGAGGCCGACAGGCGUAGGCGAUGGAUAACAGGUUGAUAUUCCUGUACCACCUAUAAUCGUUUUAAUCGAUGGGGGGACGCAGUAGGAUAGGCGAAGCGUGCGAUUGGAUUGCACGUCUAAGCAGUAAGGCUGAGUAUUAGGCAAAUCCGGUACUCGUUAAGGCUGAGCUGUGAUGGGGAGAAGACAUUGUGUCUUCGAGUCGUUGAUUUCACACUGCCGAGAAAAGCCUCUAGAUAGAAAAUAGGCGCCCGUACCGCAAACCGACACAGGUAGUCAAGAUGAGAAUUCUAAGGUGAGCGAGCGAACUCUCGUUAAGGAACUCGGCAAAAUGACCCCGUAACUUCGGGAGAAGGGGUGCUCUUUAGGGUUAACGCCCAGAAGAGCCGCAGUGAAUAGGCCCAAGCGACUGUUUAUCAAAAACACAGGUCUCUGCUAAACCGUAAGGUGAUGUAUAGGGGCUGACGCCUGCCCGGUGCUGGAAGGUUAAGAGGAGUGGUUAGCUUCUGCGAAGCUACGAAUCGAAGCCCCAGUAAACGGCGGCCGUAACUAUAACGGUCCUAAGGUAGCGAAAUUCCUUGUCGGGUAAGUUCCGACCCGCACGAAAGGCGUAACGAUUUGGGCACUGUCUCAACGAGAGACUCGGUGAAAUCAUAGUACCUGUGAAGAUGCAGGUUACCCGCGACAGGACGGAAAGACCCCGUGGAGCUUUACUGUAGCCUGAUAUUGAAAUUCGGCACAGCUUGUACAGGAUAGGUAGGAGCCUUUGAAACGUGAGCGCUAGCUUACGUGGAGGCGCUGGUGGGAUACUACCCUAGCUGUGUUGGCUUUCUAACCCGCACCACUUAUCGUGGUGGGAGACAGUGUCAGGCGGGCAGUUUGACUGGGGCGGUCGCCUCCUAAAAGGUAACGGAGGCGCUCAAAGGUUCCCUCAGAAUGGUUGGAAAUCAUUCAUAGAGUGUAAAGGCAUAAGGGAGCUUGACUGCGAGACCUACAAGUCGAGCAGGGUCGAAAGACGGACUUAGUGAUCCGGUGGUUCCGCAUGGAAGGGCCAUCGCUCAACGGAUAAAAGCUACCCCGGGGAUAACAGGCUUAUCUCCCCCAAGAGUUCACAUCGACGGGGAGGUUUGGCACCUCGAUGUCGGCUCAUCGCAUCCUGGGGCUGUAGUCGGUCCCAAGGGUUGGGCUGUUCGCCCAUUAAAGCGGUACGCGAGCUGGGUUCAGAACGUCGUGAGACAGUUCGGUCCCUAUCCGUCGUGGGCGUAGGAAAUUUGAGAGGAGCUGUCCUUAGUACGAGAGGACCGGGAUGGACAUACCUCUGGUGUACCAGUUGUCGUGCCAACGGCAUAGCUGGGUAGCUAUGUGUGGACGGGAUAAGUGCUGAAAGCAUCUAAGCAUGAAGCCCCCCUCAAGAUGAGAUUUCCCAACUUCGGUUAUAAGAUCCCUCAAAGAUGAUGAGGUUAAUAGGUUCGAGGUGGAAGCAUGGUGACAUGUGGAGCUGACGAAUACUAAUCGAUCGAAGACUUAAUCAA
rnacentral:rRNA from 1 species